AUGUCGUACAUGCGACGCGCGGUUGGUCAAGAACGUGCCGGGGGUGAAGAAGCUCGUUACCCUCUCCCGAGCCGGCUGCACAUGAACUUCGCCCAGCUCCUCCUCUCAUGCCUCGCCGGCGACCACCUCCUUCCGGCCGCGCACGACCGAGUCAUCUCCACCGAGGCUCUCCCGGGCGGCCGGGCCUCUUCCUCACCAACCUCAUUCUCCGUGGCUACUCCAAUCAAGCUGGUCCGCCUUGACGACCGCCACCUGUUCGACCGAAUGCCACGGUGGAACCUCGUCUCCUGGGGCUCUGCCAUCUCCAUGUAUGCGCAGAACGGCCGUGAGGAAGACGCCUCCGCCCUCUUAAUGGCCUUCGGGAGGGCCAGGGGCAGAAUGAGUUCCUACUCGCCACUGCCCUGA
rnacentral:rRNA from 1 species